rnacentral:rRNA from 1 species
CUUCACUCUGGGACAAGCCCUGGAAACGGGGUCUAAUACCGGAUAACACUCUGUCCCUCAUGGGAUGGGGUUAAAAGCUCCGGCGGUGAAGGAUGAGCCCGCGGCCUAUCAGCUUGUUGGUGGGGUAAUGGCCUACCAAGGCGACGACGGGUAGCCGGCCUGAGAGGGCGACCGGCCACACUGGGACUGAGACACGGCCCAGACUCCUACGGGAGGCAGCAGUGGGGAAUAUUGCACAAUGGGCGAAAGCCUGAUGCAGCGACGCCGCGUGAGGGAUGACGGCCUUCGGGUUGUAAACCUCUUUCAGCAGGGAAGAAGCGAAAGUGACGGUACCUGCAGAAGAAGCGCCGGCUAACUACGUGCCAGCAGCCGCGGUAAUACGUAGGGCGCAAGCGUUGUCCGGAAUUAUUGGGCGUAAAGAGCUCGUAGGCGGCUUGUCACGUCGGAUGUGAAAGCUCGGGGCUUAACCCCGAGUCUGCAUUCGAUACGGGCUAGCUAGAGUGUGGUAGGGGAGAUCGGAAUUCCUGGUGUAGCGGUGAAAUGCGCAGAUAUCAGGAGGAACACCGGUGGCGAAGGCGGAUCUCUGGGCCAUUACUGACGCUGAGGAGCGAAAGCGUGGGGAGCGAACAGGAUUAGAUACCCUGGUAGUCCACGCCGUAAACGUUGGGAACUAGGUGUUGGCGACAUUCCACGUCGUCGGUGCCGCAGCUAACGCAUUAAGUUC